AGUGAACGCUGGCGGUAGGCCUAACACAUGCAAGUCGAACGGCAGCACAGUAAGAGCUUGCUCUUACGGGUGGCGAGUGGCGGACGGGUGAGGAAUACAUCGGAAUCUACUUUUUCGUGGGGGAUAACGUAGGGAAACUUACGCUAAUACCGCAUACGACCUACGGGGGAAAGCAGGGAAUCUUCGGACCUUGCGCGAUUGAAUGAGCCGAUGUCGGAUUAGCUAGUUGGCGGGGUAAAGGCCCACCAAGGCGACGAUCCGUAGCUGGUCUGAGAGGAUGAUCAGCCACACUGGAACUGAGACACGGUCCAGACUCCUACGGGAGGCAGCAGUGGGGAAUAUUGGACAAUGGGCGCAAGCCUGAUCCAGCCAUACCGCGUGGGUGAAGAAGGCCUUCGGGUUGUAAAGCCCUUUUGUUGGGAAAGAAAAGCAGCAGGUUAAUACCCCGCUGUUCUGACGGUACCCAAAGAAUAAGCACCGGCUAACUUCGUG
rnacentral:rRNA from 1 species